AACGUAGGUGGCAAGCGUUAUCCGGAAUUACUGGGCGUAAAGCGCACGCAGGCGGUCUUUUAAGUUUGACGUGAAAUCUCCGGGCUUAACUCGGAACGGUCAAGUGAUACUGUCGGACUAGAGUACAGAAGGGGCAACUGGAAUUCUCGGUGUAGCGGUGAAAUGCGUAGAUAUCGAGAGGAACACCUGCGGCGAAGGCGGGUUGCUGGGCUGAUACUGACGCUGAGGCGCGAAAGCCAGGGGAGCGAACGGG
rnacentral:rRNA from 1 species